UAGGGUACAUUAUAUUCCACUUUCCCUUUUCAUGAUUCAAAAUUUCAAAGCAUCUAACUAUGCUUCUGUUGUGCAGGCUUGGAGUUGGUGCUGGCGGAUAUGAGGAUCCUGGUGUUAAGAAAUUAAGAGGCUGGUUCUCAAAAGUUUGUUCAUGUCCAGUUUGCGCUUAUAACUUCUUUGCUUGGUCUUACUUCUAUCAAAUUUCAAGAGGUCGCAGAAGGUAAAAUCGAAAUUCCAGCAGUCAUUAGUCAGUCCAUCCUGUGCUGCCUCAUUUCGCCUAACAUAUUGACAGCCUUGUCAAAUUUCACCAAACGCCCCUAGCUGCUCGAUUAAUUUGUUAUAGCUUCAGCAGUUAUACAAUCAAAAGAACCACUUUCUUAAUAUGCAAUCAGUUUCAGUUCAUCUCAUUUUUUAUUUUUAUUUUUUGUGUUAAAUCUUGAGUUUUGUUUAUGAGUGCCUAGACUCAUAUGUUUGAUAGCCAUGUUUUAGUCCAACACACCAUAUAACAGGGUUGGUUUUAUGUUAAUAAAUUUUUAUUAUUUAUUUUAUCUCGAU
rnacentral:lncRNA from 1 species